rnacentral:rRNA from 1 species
AUGAACGCUAGCGGCAGGCCUAAUACAUGCAAGUCGAACGGUAACAUGAAUAGCAAUAUUUGAUGACGAGUGGCGCACGGGUGCGUAACGCGUAUGCAAUCUACCUUCAACUGGUGAAUAGCCCGAAGAAAUUCGGAUUAACACACCAUAGUAUAUUUGAGUGGCAUCACUUAAAUAUUAAAACUCCGGUGGUUGAAGAUGAGCAUGCGUGACAUUAGCUAGUUGGUGAGGUAAUGGCUCACCAAGGCUACGAUGUCUAGGGGAUCUGAGAGGAUUAACCCC